rnacentral:rRNA from 1 species
UACGUAGACCACAAGCGUUAUCCGGAUUUAUUUGGGCGUAAAGCGCAUGUAGGAGGUCCGAUGCGUCUCUGGUUAAAGCCCACCGCCUAACGGUGGAACUGCCAGGGAUACGAUUGGACUGGAGGAUGUGAGAGGUGCAUAGAACGCACGGUGUAGGGGUGAAAUCCGUUGAUAUCGUGCGGAAUACCAAAGGCGAAGGCAGUGCACUGGUACAUUCCUGACUCUGAGAUGCGAAAGCGUGGGGAGCAAAAAGG